rnacentral:rRNA from 1 species
UACGGAGGGGGCGAGCGUUGUCCGAAUUUACUGGGCGUAAAGCGUGCGCAGGCGGUUUUGUAAGUCUGUCGUGAAAUCCCCGGGCUCAACCUGGGAAUUGCGAUGGAGACUGCAAGGCUAGAAUCUGGCAGAGGGGGUAGAAUUCCACGUGUGAGCAGUGAAAUGCGUAGAGAUGUGGAGGAACACCGAUGGCGAAGGCAGCCCC